rnacentral:rRNA from 1 species
CCUACGGGAGGCAGCAGUGAGGAAUAUUGGUCAAUGGCCGCGAGCCUGAACCAGCCAAGUAGCGUGAAGGAUGACUGCCCUACGGGUUGUAAACUUCUUUUAUAAAGGAAUAAAGUGAGGCACGUGUGCCUUUUUGUAUGUACUUUAUGAAUAAGGAUCGGCUAACUCCGUGCCAGCAGCCGCGGUAAUACGGAGGAUCCGAGCGUUAUCCGGAUUUAUUGGGUUUAAAGGGUGCGUAGAUGGGUGGCUAAGUCAGUUGUGAAAGUUUGCGGCUCAACCGUAAAAUUGCAAUUGAUACUGGCAGUCUUGAGUGCAGGAGAGGUAGGCGGAAUGCGUGGUGUAGCGGUGAAAUGCUUAGAUAUCACGAAGAACUCCGAUUGCGAAGGCAGCCUACUAACGCGCCACUGACGUUGAUGCACGAAAGUGUGGGUAUCAAACAGGAUUAGAUACCCGUGUAGUC